GAUGAACGCUAGCUACAGGCUUAACACAUGCAAGUCGAGGGGCAGCAUGGUCUUAGCUUGCUAAGACUGAUGGCGACCGGCGCACGGGUGAGUAACACGUAUCCAACCUGCCGUCUACUCUUGGACAGCCUUCUGAAAGGAAGAUUAAUACAAGAUGGCAUCAUGAGUCCGCAUGUUCACAUGAUUAAAGGUAUUCCGGUAGACGAUGGGGAUGCGUUCCAUUAGAUAGUAGGCGGGGUAACGGCCCACCUAGUCUUCGAUGGAUAGGGGUUCUGAGAGGAAGGCCCCCCACAUUGGAACUGAGACACGGUCCAAACUCCUACGGGAGGCAGCAGUGAGGAAUAUUGGUCAAUGGGCGAGAGCCUGAACCAGCCAAGUAGCGUGAAGGAUGACUGCCCUAUGGGUUGCAAACUUCUUUUAUAAAGGAAUAAAGUCGGGUAUGGAUACCCGUUUGCAUGUACUUUAUGAAUA
rnacentral:rRNA from 1 species